rnacentral:tRNA from 1 species
GGGUGAAAAGGGUUUAGGCCUGACUCUUAAUCAGUAGGUUCAAGGUUCGAGUCCUUGAUGGCCCACCA